rnacentral:rRNA from 1 species
UCCUACGGGGGGCAGCAGUGAGGGAUAUUGGUCAAUGGGGGAAACCCUGAACCAGCAACGCCGCGUGAGGGAAGACGGUUUUCGGAUUGUAAACCUCUGUCCUCUGUGAAGAUAAUGACGGUAGCAGAGGAGGAAGCUCCGGCCAACUACGUGCCAGCAGCCGCGGUAAUACGUAGGGGGCAAGCGUUAUCCGGAUUUACUGGGUGUAAAGGGAGCGUAGACGGCAGUGCAAGUCUGGAGUGAAAGGCGGGGGCUCAACCCCCGGACUGCUCUGGAAACUGUACGGCUGGAGUGCAGGAGAGGUA